ACAGAAGAGGUUUUACUUCAUACCUAUGCAACAGAAGAGGUUUUACUUCAUACCUAUGCUUGCCUGGAGGGCAGUGGGGCAUUCUGCAACGCAGGAACUCAGCUAGGUUGUGGCUGAUAAAAUAGACCAACCAAAGGCGCAGCUCGCCUUCAAACUCAGCUGGCAGUUGCAGGACAACUGGUUCUUUAUAAACAUGGGCGAGUAAAGAAAGAAACCCCUGAAGCAGUAUUGACAGCUAGGCGGGCCGAGGAGAUGCUCAAAAAUAAGGCUAUUAUAGAGGAGACUUGACUUUGAUUUGCUGUGACCGUAGUUGGGAAUCAAAAAGAUGAGUACCAGCCAGCCCUAAGGAAUAAAAUUCUAGUAAAAGAAUUCCCUUUCCCUAGGUGUGGUGGAACAAAUCACAAUGUCAGCAGCCAAAAACAGGCACGUAAGAAAUAUGAAUAAAGAAUUCAAUAGCAAAAUGUCAGCAAAGUCCACAACGUCAACAGGAAAGCAUCCUUAUAAAAUACAUUAUAAUAUACAAACACAUAAACAUGUAGUGUACCUUGGGGACACGCUACCAUCUGCAGAUGGUAGCAUUUUGCAAAACAUUUGUGUAAAUAUUACCAAGAAAUAGAUAUAUAGGAACAAAAGGGUACAAGAAGCACUUUCUAUCGGUUUGUUUAGGAAAGAAAGGAAAUAUACUAUGAAUCCAAUAAUAAUAGUAUCAGUCUUUCAAACAAUACUCUUGCUUGAACAAGCACAGUGCAAAGAACAACUAGGCUUCACUCCGAUUCAGGCAAUAUGCUUGAAACAGGGAGAAUUAACCUGUUGAUCCAGGCACACAGUACUUCUUAGGCUUUGCUUCGAAGCCGGCCAGGCGAAAGCAAGCUAUCAAGCAGUAUGCAGUUGGUGUUCAAGGAGGAAGGACACACCUUUUGCAUUCUUAUUCUUCAAAGGCAGUGAUAGUGGCUUAAUUUUAGUGAUACUUCUCAGACUUAUUUUUGUGAGAGAGCCACGACUAUACUGCCUAUCCAAUUGGGUAGAUAUUAGACCGAAAGGAAUAUUGGGAAGAAAUACCCACACGAAUAACCGGGCUUUCCAGGACAAACCCGGGAAAGGCAAUCCAGAUUUCGUUAGUAAGUUAUUUAUAUUGUGGACACAGACGUCGUAGACCGAAUAAAAGAAGGGCUACAGACGAUUUACAUAUGCCGGGACAAAGGUAUGAAAAAUAUUUCACUUAUAUAUUGAACAUUACUUCUUAUGAAUAUAAGCAAAAGAAAAGAAAGAAAACAAAACGAUGAUAACCUGCUUACUUGGAAACGCAACCUCUCAUGAGAAUAUGAAUUAUAUUAAAAGACUAACUACCAGAUGGCGUUGCUGUCAGUGACUAUCUCUAACUAACCUUUUGACUUGAAUAGAAAUAACCUUGUCCAGGAAGGGUUAACAGUAAGUGUAUAUGAAAAAUACUAAUAUAGUUCAGUUCUUAGUUCAUAUACAAAGUAUGAAAAGGGGAAAAACUAUAUAUAAUUCUUGAGUGAUAAUUAAAGAAAAAUAACAAUGGUUAGCUGAGGGGUGGGUUGUGUUAUGAAAAUACACGUGACACAAACAGAUUUACGCAAAGUAAAUAUAUGUUUAGUCUACAGGUAUAUAGCUUGCUGAGGGAAAAGGGGGGAGGUAUGAGAGAAGGGUUAGAACAGGGAGGCAGGAAAGGCUAAGCGAAAUGGAGUAGAUUCGUUGAGAUAUCCUUGUAGAAUAACUACAUUUAACUGUCCUUGGGACAAUCUCUUCACUUUGACAUUCAGAGCACUGGGCGGAAAUAACAUUGUGUCGGAGUGUUCGGAUCAUUUAUACAUCUACUGAUGUUCAGCCUUUGUUAAUUUAAAUAAUCUCUUGGGAUUCCAUUCAUUGAGUUGAUAGUUCUCUUCCUUUUUUUUCUUCUUCUCUCAUUCUUUAUCUUCAUCUGAAGAGAUGUACAUCACAUCGAUAUCCUUAUUUCACCACGCAACCUUUCCUCUAAAAAGAAACAGAAAAAAGGGGCGAAAUCAAAUUAAUCAAGUUAGCCAAGUAAGUCAAUCAUAUCACCACUAUUUAUUUAACUUAUUACUUUGUGUAUUUAUGAAAAGGAAUACGUUAUGAAAAAGUCAUGGCGUAUCAUGGGAGAAGAAGGAAUCGAUAAUAAAAUACAUAUAAUAUUUUUGUGUUAGCGAGAUAACGCCGUGAUAUAAAUAGUAUUUGAGAAAAUGUAAAAUGAACAUUUGCAAUCGGAGAAUAUCCUAACCCUCACGAAAAACAUCCAGAUGAAAUUUCAAAGUCAGGAGCAAAUGCCAAAAAAUAUGCAAAUGUUCUUUAAAAUAUAAUUCCUUUCAUAAGUAUACUGCAGUUCGAGGGAAUCUGGUAAAUAGUUUUAAAUGGGAGAUGUUUGUUCUCUAAUCAAAAUGAAGAAGAGUUAACCUAUACAGGGCAUAAUAUUUAGCAUAUCGAUCUCAAAGUUAUUGAUGUGAAACAUGGAUUUAAUUAACGCGAGCUAGCAAGAGCUAAUAAGAGGUUUGGCUAAAGUUAAGCUGAUUCUAUAAAAGAUUCCCUGUUUAUGUCAGUGAAAUGAUCCAUAAUCUCAAAGAAAGAAAAAAAUAAAAUGUAAAGAACGUUAAUGGUGUUAUCUUCAAGCUUAAAGGAAUUGAUAAAAUCAACAUAAAUAAUAAUGAAAAACUAAAAUUAAGUUUUUUAGGUCGAGCAAAAGAUAGAUUAAAUACAGAAUACUAUUCAAGAAUCUCGAAGUUACUGCCAAGUAAUUUAAUAAGGAAUUGGGAAUUCGCUUCUUUUAUCAACGUAUAAAGGAAACAACUGAUUAGAUUUUGUGGGAGUGUCAAUAUUUAUUUAAAACAUAUGGGGACAUCAUUAAAAUGGUUAUUAACUUAUUCAAUCAACAACUGGGCAAAUAAGACUUCUUCUCUACUUCGUAUAAUGCAAAAUUUUAUGCAAUUAUUACAAAAUUGCAAUAUAUUGUCUAUAAUUUAUGGACAAAAAAAGAAAACAACCUCUAUGGAAUUUUGCAAAUUGUUAAUCUUUACGCAAAUGUUCAAAUGAAAAUUUGAAACUAUUUCUAGAAAAUUAUUUAUAAAUAUUCCUGAUUGUACUAUAUUUUAUAAUAGUCUUUUUAAUUUUCGUUUUGCUAUAUUUUUAAGCGAAUUAUUUUUCUAGUAUCUUAUUAACAAAUUAUGAAAGUUUAAAUACAUGCCCGUUAAGCCUAAGACAAGAAAAAAAGUCAACAUUUUUGAAAAACAGCAGGAAAAUUCAUUCGAGUGUCGGUGGCUAAAUGAAUGAUUUAUCAAAGCUGAAAUUUUGAAUACUGAUUAUCAAUACUACAGAAAUGAGAAGAAAAAACAGCUUGAGUUUAAAGUCGAUUCCAUGACUGGAGCGUAAAGUGGACUGGGAAAUUAUAAUUCAAAUUACUGAUAAAUUACAAACCAAGGUUAAUAGAAAUACAAGGUUAUACCAUAACUAAAGCUUGUUUGUUUGGUUAAAUAAA
rnacentral:lncRNA from 1 species